GGAUGAAUGGCUGAGUGGUUAAAAGCAUCAAUUUUGAAAAUUGAUAUAAUUUUUAUCGUGGGUUCGAAUCCUACUUCAUCCG
rnacentral:tRNA from 1 species